UGGGGAAUAUUGGACAAUGGGCGCAAGCCUGAUCCAGCCAUGCCGCGUGAGUGAUGAAGGCCCUAGGGUUGUAAAGCUCUUUCACCGGUGAAGAUAAUGACGGUAACCGGAGAAGAAGCCCCGGCUAACUUCGUGCCAGCAGCCGCGGUAAUACGAAGGGGGCUAGCGUUGUUCGGAUUUACUGGGCGUAAAGCGCACGUAGGCGGACUAUUAAGUCAGGGGUGAAAUCCCGGGGCUCAACCCCGGAACUGCCUUUGAUACUGGUAGUCUUGAGUUCGAGAGAGGUGGGUGGAAUUCCGAGUGUAGAAGUGAAAUUCGUAGAUAUUCGGAGGAACACCAGUGGCGAAGGCGGCUCACUGGCUCGAUACUGACGCUGAGGUGCAAAAGCGUGGGGAGCAAACAGG
rnacentral:rRNA from 1 species